UUUAUUGAUGUGGUGAGUACAUAGUCUAUGAAAAUAUUGCUAAAUCUGUCAUUUAUUCAUUUUAAUAUUCAUCAAUGAUCACGUCUCACCUCUGUUCCUCACUGUCCAAUUUUCAGGAUCCCAUCAUACGUUGUUCAUUGUUCAGGAGGUUCACUAGACCAAGCAGCCUUUUGGGUUCCUCUAAGUUUCCAUGUUUGAGGAAAUAUUCUGUGUUGUUGUGCUGAGUAUUGCUGCUGUGGAGGUCUAAGGUGUUUAUUGAUAUGGAUUCCAUCAUACGUUUUACAUUGUUCAGGAGGUUCACUAGACCAAGCAGCCUUUUGGGUUCCUCUAAGUAAGUACUGUAUAGAAUAAUGGGACUGGGAGGAUGGUG